UUAUUGAUGAUUCAGUUUAGUCCAUUCAAUUGCACUCCAUUCUAACCAAACAUUACAAUUUGAAUGGGUUAUGAUAAAAUUUAAGUAAAAAUAUAAAAUGAAUUCCACUAGUAACAACGAAAGUAAAUCUGACGUAUUUAUCAAUGAUAUAUUGUCUACUGUUGGAGAGUGCAAUGAUUUAUAUGUGAUGAAUACAGAUUCCAUUACUAAUUCCCAACAAAAAUGUCCAUGUUCAUCCAAGAAAAAUGAACAGAAAGCGUCAAUCACUUGGAAUACUCAAACUGAAACAGGAGCGUUGAACUACAAUGAUCUUAUGAGACAUUUGGAGUUAUGGUCAACAGACUUACAAGAAAUGGAAAACAAUAAAUAUUUCAGGAAAAUCUAUUCCAAAACCAAGCACAGGAGAUGAACAGCAGAGAUUCCACAAUCAUAAACCAUCAUUCUCUUCUUCAAAAGUUAUUGAAGACAGUCUCUGAAAGUUCUUAUCAGCAUGACAACAUGGAGAUUCUAUUAAAUAUCAUUGACAAGGAUUUUGAAAAGUUGGAGAUCUCAGUCAGUUGCUUAGAGAGCAUCACUAAGUAUGAUACUAAUAACAAUAGAAACAUAGAACUACCCAUGAGAUGUCACAUUUUUCAUGAAGACCUUAAGCGUCAAGUACUAUUCAACGGGAUACUCGAGUAUUUCUCACUGAUUCAGUAUUUCAAAGAUAGUAUCACAGAAGUGGAACUCUACCUGGAAGAAUUGGAAUAUAACGAUCCCGGUAAGCAAUUGAUAAGAUUGAUGAAGAUGAACCAUUCUAUGCAAAAUCGCAUGCAAAUUCAAUUGACAGAAAUGGAAAUGCUUUGUUUGGAUAUUGUUGAGAAUGCAACGAAAAUUCAUGCAUAAACAGAAUUUUGUUGCUCUCAUGGUAAUGCUUGAGUGAAAUAUAUAUUGAGAGAGUUCCCGUUGAAUGAUUCACACCAGAACGAAUUUGCAAUUUGAAAAAAGAUGAAAAGAUGAAUUUGAUAUUUUGUCACCAAUAUUAAAUGAAUGAAGUUAAUAGUAA